UACGUAGGGUGCAAGCGUUGUCCGGAUUUAUUGGGCGUAAAGAGCUCGUAGGCGGCUUGGCAAGUCAGAAGUCAAAACAAGAGGCUCAACCUCUUGUCGCUUUUGAAACUGCCAUGGCUUGAGUUUGGUAGGGGAUGAGGGAAUUCCUGGUGUAGCGGUGAAAUGCGCAGAUAUCAGGAGGAACACCGGUGGCGAAGGCGCUCAUCUGGGCCAAUACUGACGCUGAGGAGCGAAAGCGUGGGGAGCGAACAGG
rnacentral:rRNA from 1 species